ACUGGAAGGCCAGGAAGGCUGAGUCUGAUGAAGCAGGACUUGGCUGAUACACUCUAGACAAACGGGUGGAGAGAGCUACCGAUACUGGAGAAAACCACAGGGAUGACUUACAACCCAACAUCU